rnacentral:lncRNA from 1 species
AAUGAAUUCGGAGUAGCAAAGCAAAGAACAGGAUGCUCUUAUCUUUGCAUGCUGCCUGCUACUAACUUUUCAUUUGUCUGCGUACUUGAAUGCAAAAUCCACACAGUACUGUGAACUCACAGUAGCAGCUGUGAGAUGUGCAAAGCAAUAGGACAGUGUAUAGCAUGGAUACUUCUCUGGUAUUUUUUUAAGGUACCGGGGAUAUGGCCAGUCUGCAAAUGGUCAGUGCAAUACCCUCAGUGAAGUGUGGUUUAUCUGAGAGAAGCUCUGUCUGCAUUACAAGAGCAAGUAAAUGGUAUCCUUUGGUGUCAGACCAAUUGUUCCUAGAAGAUUCUUUCUGUAUGCCUCCCAAAGAAUCCUUGUAAAUGCCUAAGUGUUUUGGUGUAGAUGAGCCAAAGCUCCUGCAAUGGACAUGGAAUGACUGCAGUUCUGUGACUCACUCAUUAGAGUAAGAAGUCUAAAGCCUCUGAGAAAUAAAACAACAAAACAAUGUCA